UACAGAGGGGGCAAGCGUUGUUCGGAAUUACUGGGCGUAAAGGGCGCGUAGGCGGCCAACUAAGUCAGACGUGAAAUCCCCUGGCUCAACCAGGGAACUUCGUCUGAUACUGGAUGGCUUGAAUCCGGGAGAGGGAUGUGGAAUUCCAGGUGUAGCGGUGAAAUGCGUAGAUAUCUGGAGGAACACCGGUGGCGAAGGCGGCAUCCUGGACCGGUAUUGACGCUGAGGCGCGAAAGCCAGGGGAGCAAACGGG
rnacentral:rRNA from 1 species